rnacentral:rRNA from 1 species
GAUGAACGCUGGCGGCGUGCCUAACACAUGCAAGUCGAACGGAAAGGCUCCUGCUUGCAGGGGUACUCGAGUGGCGAACGGGUGAGUAUCACGUGUGUGAUCUGCCCUGCACUUCGGGAUAAGCCGGGGAAACUGGGGCUAAUAUCGGAUAGGAUGAUGGUUUGGAUGCCAUUGUGGAAAGUUUUUCGGUGUGGGAUGAGCUUGUGGCGUAUGAGCUUGGUGGUGGGGUAAUGGCCUAGUAAGGCGUCGACGGGUAGACGGACGGAUAGGGGGAUCGGCGGCAUUGGAGGUUGGACACCGUCAUUGGGACUACGAGACGGACCAGAGUGGAACGGGAGGCAACGGUGGGAAGUAUUACGCAAUGAGCGCAAGCCUGAUGCGGAGACGCCGGGUGGGGAAUGCCGGCCUUCGGGUUAUGAACACCUUUCGCUAGAGACGAAGCGGUAGUGACGGUACCUGAAGAAGAAGCACCGGCUAACUACGUG